rnacentral:rRNA from 1 species
UACGUAGGUGGCAAGCGUUGUCCGGAUUUAUUGGGUUUAAAGGGUGCGUAGGCGGUCUUUUAAGUCAGUGCUGAAAUACUCCAGCUUAACUGGAGGGGUGGCAUUGAUACUGGAAGACUUGAGUGUAGUCGAGGUAGGCGGAAUUGACGGUGUAGCGGUGAAAUGCUUAGAUAUCGUCAAGAACACCGAUAGUGAAGACAGCUUACUAGGCUACAACUGACGCUGAGGCACGAAAAGUGUGGGGGAUCAAAACAGG